GAUGAACGCUAGCUACAGGCUUAACACAUGCAAGUCGAGGGGAAACGAUAGAGAAAGCUUGCUUUUUCUAGGCGUCGACCGGCGCACGGGUGAGUAACGCGUAUCCAACCUGCCCAUCACUUGGGGAUAACCUUGCGAAAGUAAGACUAAUACCCAAUGACGUCUCUAGAAGACAUCUGAAGGAGAUUAAAGAUUUAUCGGUGAUGGAUGGGGAUGCGUCUGAUUAGCUUGUUGGCGGGGUAACGGCCCACCAAGGCGACGAUCAGUAGGGGUUCUGAGAGGAAGGCCCCCCACAUUGGAACUGAGACACGGUCCAAACUCCUACGGGAGGCAGCAGUGAGGAAUAUUGGUCAAUGGACGAGAGUCUGAACCAGCCAAGUAGCGUGCAGGAUGACGGCCCUAUGGGUUGUAAACCGCUUUUAUAAGGGAUAAAGUGAGUCUCGUGAGACUUUUUGCAUGUACCUUAUGAAUAAGGACCGCUAACUCCGUGCCAGCAGCCGAC
rnacentral:rRNA from 1 species